AACGAACGCUGGCGGUAUGCUUAACACAUGCAAGUCGAACGGAUUAUUGAGCUUGCUUAAUAAUUAGUGGCAAACGGGUGAGUAACGCGUGGGAAUCUGCCCAUCAGUACGGAAUAACUUCUGGAAACAGAUGCUAAUACCGUAUAUCUUCUCAGGAAGAAAGAUUUAUCGCUGAUGGAUGAGCCCGCGUUAGAUUAGGUAGUUGGUAGGGUAAUGGCCUACCAAGCCUACGAUCUAUAGCUGGUCUGAGAGGAUGAUCAGCCACACUGGGACUGAGACACGGCCCAGACUCCUACGGGAGGCAGCAGUGAGGAAUAUUGGACAAUGGGCGAAAGCCUGAUCCAGCAAUACCGCGUGAGUGAUGAAGGCCUUAGGGUUGUAAAGCUCUUUUAGUAGGGAAGAUAAUGACGGUACCUACAGAAAAAGCCCCGACUAACUUCGUGCCAGCCGCCGCGGUAA
rnacentral:rRNA from 1 species